AGCUCUAAUAGCGUAUAUUAAUGUUGUGGAGGUGAAAAAGCGAGGGGAGGAAAGCGAAGGGUAAAACUGGAGCUGGGGAAACCCAUUUGCAGUUAUUAGCGCGUUUUAAGGUAUUCGGUUUCCUUGACUUAAUUGUCAAAUAAGCUUAACGGAUGCCUUGUAGCUACUCUGAUAAAAUCAGAGUGCUUAAAACAAGCAUAUUGCUUGUAUAUUUGUGCAUAGUAUAGCAAAAGAUGACCUAAGCUAAUAAAGAUGGUGAUUAGCCGUGGUAAUGAUUAAAAGGGAUUGUCGGAGGCAUUUGUAUUUGAAAGUGAGAGGUGAAAUUCUAUGAUCUUUCAAAGACAAACUAGCGCGAAAGCAUUUGCCAAGUAUGUUUUCA
rnacentral:rRNA from 1 species